UACGAGAGGGGCAAGCGUUAUUCGGAAUGAUUGGGCGUAAAGAGCGUGUAGGCGGCCAGGUAGGUCGGUUGUGAAAACUGGAGGCUCAACCUUCAGAGGUCGACCGAAACCAUCUGGCUAGAGUCCGGGAGAGGAGAGUGGAAUUCCUGGUGUAGCGGUGAAAUGCGCAGAUAUCAGGAAGAACACCCGUGGCGAAAGCGGCUCUCUGGAACGGUACUGACGCUGAGACGCGAAAGCGUGGGGAGCGAACAGG
rnacentral:rRNA from 1 species